AUUGAACGCUGGCGGCAGGCCUAACACAUGCAAGUCGAACGAGUGGCGGACGGGUGAGAAAUGUCUGGGAAACUGCCUGAUGGAGGGGGAUAACUACUGGAAACGGUAGCUAAUACCGCAUACCAUCGGAUGUGCCCAGAUGGGGUUAGCUAGUAGGUGGGGUAAAGGCUCACCUAGGCGACAAUCCCUAGCUGGUCUGGGAGGAUGACCAGCCCCACUGGAACUGAGACACGGUCCAGACUCCUACGGGAGGCAGCAGUGGGGAAUAUUGCACAAUGGGCGGAAGCCGGAUGCAGCCCUGCCGCGUGUAUGGAGGAGGCCUUCGGGGUGUAAAGGACUUUCAGCGGGGAGGCGUUACCCGCAGAAGAAGCACCGGCUAACUCCGUGCCAGCAGCCGCGGUAAUAC
rnacentral:rRNA from 1 species